GGGUUGUGAGGUUAAGCGACUAAGCGUACACGGUGGAUGCCCUGGCAGUCAGAGGCGAUGAAGGACGUGCUAAUCUGCGAAAAGCGUCGGUAAGGUGAUAUGAACCGUUAUAACCGGCGAUGUCCGAAUGGGGAAACCCAGUGUGAUUCGUCACACUAUCGUUAACUGAAUACAUAGGUUAACGAGGCGAACCGGGGGAACUGAAACAUCUAAGUACCCCGAGGAAAAGAAAUCAACCGAGAUUCCCCAGUAGCGGCGAGCGAACGGGGAGCAGCCCAGAGUCUGAAUCAGCUUGUGUGUUAGUGGAACGGUCUGGAAAGUCCGACGGUACAGGGUGAUAGUCCCGUACACCAAAAUGCACAGGCUGUGAACUCGAAGAGUAGGGCGGGACACGUGGUAUCCUGUCUGAAUAUGGGGACCAUCCUCCAAGGCUAAAUACUCCUGACUGACCGAUAGUGAACCAGUACCGUGAGGGAAAGGCGAAAAGAACCCCGGCGAGGGAGUGAAAAGAACCUGAAACCGUGUACGUACAAGCAGUGGGAGCACCUUCGGGUGUGACUGCGUACCUUUGUAUAAUGGGUCAGCGACUUAUAUUCUGUAGCAAGGUUAACCGUAUAGGGAGCCGCAGGGAAACCGAGUCUUAACUGGGCGUUAAGUUGCAGGGUAUAGACCCGAAACCCGGUGAUCUAGCCAUGGGCAGGUUGAAGGUUGGGUAACACUAACUGGAGGACCGAACCGACUAAUGUUGAAAAAUUAGCGGAUGACUUGUGGCUGGGGGUGAAAGGCCAAUCAAACCGGGAGAUAGCUGGUUCUCCCCGAAAGCUAUUUAGGUAGCGCCUCGUGAAUUCAUCUUCGGGGGUAGAGCACUGUUUCGGCUAGGGGGUCAUCCCGACUUACCAACCCGAUGCAAACUACGAAUACCGAAGAAUGUUAUCACGGGAGACACACGGCGGGUGCUAACGUCCGUCGUGAAGAGGAAACAACCCAGACCGCCAGCUAAGGUCCCAAAGUCAUGGUUAAGUGGGAAACGAUGUGGGAAGGCACAGACAGCCAGGAUGUUGGCUUAGAAGCAGCCAUCAUUUAAAGAAAGCGUAAUAGCUCACUGGUCGAGUCGGCCUGCGCGGAAGAUGUAACGGGGCUAAACCAUGCACCGAAGCUGCGGCAGCGACACUAUGUGUUGUUGGGUAGGGAGCGUUCUGUAAGCCUGCGAAGGUGUGCUGUGAGGCAUGCUGGAGGUAUCAGAAGUGCGAAUGCUGACAUAAGUAACGAUAAAGCGGGUGAAAAGCCCGCUCGCCGGAAGACCAAGGGUUCCUGUCCAACGUUAAUCGGGGCAGGGUGAGUCGACCCCUAAGGCGAGGCCGAAAGGCGUAGUCGAUGGGAAACAGGUUAAUAUUCCUGUACUUGGUGUUACUGCGAAGGGGGGACGGAGAAGGCUAUGUUAGCCGGGCGACGGUUGUCCCGGUUUAAGCAUGUAGGCUGGUUGUCCAGGCAAAUCCGGAUAAUCAAGGCUGAGGUGUGAUGACGAGGCACUACGGUGCUGAAGUAACAAAUGCCCUGCUUCCAGGAAAAGCCUCUAAGCAUCAGGUAACAUUAAAUCGUACCCCAAACCGACACAGGUGGUCAGGUAGAGAAUACCAAGGCGCUUGAGAGAACUCGGGUGAAGGAACUAGGCAAAAUGGUGCCGUAACUUCGGGAGAAGGCACGCUGGUGUGUAGGUGAAGUCCCUGCGGAUGGAGCUGAGACCAGUCGAAGAUACCAGCUGGCUGCAACUGUUUAUUAAAAACACAGCACUGUGCAAACACGAAAGUGGACGUAUACGGUGUGACGCCUGCCCGGUGCCGGAAGGUUAAUUGAUGGGGUUAUCCGUAAGGAGAAGCUCUUGAUCGAAGCCCCGUAAACGGCGGCCGUAACUAUAACGGUCCUAAGGUAGCGAAAUUCCUUGUCGGGUAAGUUCCGACCUGCACGAAUGGCGUAAUGAUGGCGGGCUGUCUCCACCCGAGACUCAGUGAAAUUGAACUCGCUGUGAAGAUGCAGUGUACCCGCGGCAAGACGGAAAGACCCCGUGAACCUUUACUAUAGCUUGACACUGAACAUUGAGCCUUGAUGUGUAGGAUAGGUGGGAGGCUUUGAAGCGUGGACGCCAGUCUGCGUGGAGCCAACCUUGAAAUACCACCCUUUAAUGUUUGAUGUUCUAACGUUGGCCCCUGACCGGGGUUGCGGACAGUGUCUGGUGGGUAGUUUGACUGGGGCGGUCUCCUCCCAAAGCGUAACGGAGGAGCACGAAGGUUAGCUAAUCUGGUCGGACAUCAGGAGGUUAGUGCAAUGGCAUAAGCUAGCUUGACUGCGAGCGUGACGGCGCGAGCAGGUGCGAAAGCAGGUCAUAGUGAUCCGGUGGUUCUGAAUGGAAGGGCCAUCGCUCAACGGAUAAAAGGUACUCCGGGGAUAACAGGCUGAUACCGCCCAAGAGUUCAUAUCGACGGCGGUGUUUGGCACCUCGAUGUCGGCUCAUCACAUCCUGGGGCUGAAGUAGGUCCCAAGGGUAUGGCUGUUCGCCAUUUAAAGUGGUACGCGAGCUGGGUUUAGAACGUCGUGAGACAGUUCGGUCCCUAUCUGCCGUGGGCGCUGGAGAAUUGAGGGGGGCUGCUCCUAGUACGAGAGGACCGGAGUGGACGCAUCACUGGUGUUCGGGUUGUCAUGCCAAUGGCACUGCCCGGUAGCUAAAUGCGGAAGAGAUAAGUGCUGAAAGCAUCUAAGCACGAAACUUGCCCCGAGAUGAGUUCUCCCUGAGACUUUAAGUCUCCUGAAGGAACGUUGAAGACGACGACGUUGAUAGGCCGGGUGUGUAAGCGCAGCGAUGCGUUGAGCUAACCGGUACUAAUGAACCGUGAGGCUUAACCUUACAACGCCGAAG
rnacentral:rRNA from 1 species